GACGAACGCUGGCGGCGUGCUUAACACAUGCAAGUCGAACGGAAAGGCCCUGCUUUUGUGGGGUGCUCGAGUGGCGAACGGGUGAGUAACACGUGAGUAACCUGCCCUUGACUUUGGGAUAACUUCAGGAAACUGGGGCUAAUACCGGAUAGGAGCUCCUGCUGCAUGGUGGGGGUUGGAAAGUUUCGGCGGUUGGGGAUGGACUCGCGGCUUUUCAGCUUGUUGGUGGGGUAGUGGCUUACCAAGGAUUUGACGGGUAGCCGGCCUGGGAGGGUGACCGGCCACAUUGGGACUGAGAUACGGCCCAGACUCCUACGGGGGGCAGCAGUGGGGAGUAUUGCACAAUGGGCGGAAGCCUGAUGCAGCAACGCCGCGUGCGGGAUGACGGCCUUCGGGUUGUAAACCGCUUUCGCCUGUGACGAAGCGGGAGUGACGGUAAUGGGUAAAGAAGCACCGGCUAACUACGUG
rnacentral:rRNA from 1 species